rnacentral:rRNA from 1 species
CACCUACGGGCGGCAGCAGUGGGGAAUAUUGCACAAUGGGCGCAAGCCUGAUGCAGCGACGCCGCGUGGGGGAUGACGGCCUUCGGGUUGUAAACUCCUUUCGCCAGGGACGAAGCGUUAUGUGACGGUACCUGGAUAAGAAGCACCGGCUAACUACGUGCCAGCAGCCGCGGUAAUACGUAGGGUGCGAGCGUUGUCCGGAAUUACUGGGCGUAAAGAGCUCGUAGGUGGUUUGUCGCGUCGUCUGUGAAAUCCCGGGGCUUAACUUCGGGCGUGCAGGCGAUACGGGCAUAACUUGAGUGCUGUAGGGGAGACUGGAAUUCCUGGUGUAGCGGUGAAAUGCGCAGAUAUCAGGAGGAACACCGAUGGCGAAGGCAGGUCUCUGGGCAGUAACUGACGCUGAGGAGCGAAAGCAUGGGUAGCGAACAGGAUUAGAUACCCCAGUAGUCUA